rnacentral:tRNA from 1 species
GGCCGCUUAGCCCAAUGGCACGAGGCGUCACGCUUAGACCGUGAAGGUUCCCGGUUCGAAUCCGGGAGCGGCUAC